rnacentral:pre_miRNA from 1 species
GAUUUCAACUAAAAAAGUCAUCAAUAACAAAGUAGUAUAACUCAUCAAGAUCUAUAACUUUUAUUUGGGUCAUUUUUUCAUCUGACAAAGCAAAUUGUAACAUUGUUCACAAAAUGUACAUAUCUCUUAUAUUGUUUAUAAACUAUGAGAGAGAUAUGUAAAUUUUGUAAAUAAUAUUACUAUUACUUUGUCGGAUGAAGAAAUGACCAAAAUAAAAGUUAUAGAUAUUGAUGAUUUAUACAACUUUGUUAUUGAUGACUUUUUCAGUUGAAAUC